GUAGGGAACAUUGUAAAAGUGAAAUAUCAUGCAUAUAUAUAGAUCAUUUUGGGAUGUUUUUGGAAUGUAAAGUUUAUGUAUGUAAAUUAAUGAAACAUGCAGUGUAAUAGAAGUAGUGUUUACUUUUAUAUCUUGAUACUUUUCUUAUGCAAUCUAUGUAUUCAAUUCAUGGUUUGAAUAUGUUGUAUAUGCUUGUGAUGCCUUAGAUGGAUAGAAAAAACUAUGUCCGUUCGGCGGGUCUGGUGCACGUGCCAGAUGAGUGUUUCUGUGGCUUGGGGUGUGACAUGAUCUUUUUGUCAAGAAAUAGUUGGUUGAAUGUUGCAAAGUGACACAAGCAUAUCGACAUAGCAUUAGCGUGUUAUGUAGGUUUAUUUGUAGCGUUUUGUUGUACUUUUUUCAUCUUUAUUCCCUUUGUAGUUAGCGGAGUGUAAGUCUAAUCUUCUAUUAUAUCCAGCCACUUGUCACGGCUUAAACGUUUUUGCUCGCAAAGCCCGUAUGGCACCCGCCUUCCUGCUGGAAGAGGGGAAAGCUUAGCUCUCUGUUGCUAGCCUGGACCUCCACGUCCUACGACUAAGUAUGCAAAAAGGAGAGAAGAGAGAGAGGCAGAAGUUUCUAAAAAACUAAGUACUUCACUACUUAGAAAAAUAGGACUACAAUACACAAUUUCUCUUGUGUCUCUACCUUCCCUCCUACUUAUAGGCUUCUAAAUAUAAUGAAUCUAGCUUACACUAACUCACCACUAAGCACACAUUAAAGCACAUAUUAACUUAUCCACUAUCACAUAGUAAUUUAUGAGCCCUCAUA
rnacentral:lncRNA from 1 species